UGAACCGUCACCUCCGUUUACCAACGUUGGAAUAGACACCUUUGGACCCUGGACAAUUGUUUCACGUAAAACACGUGGUAGAUACGCCAACUCAAAACGUUGGGCAAUUCUUUUCACAUGCUUAGUGACAAGAGCUGUUCAUAUCGAACUAAUCGAGGAAAUGAGCUCUUCAGCCUUCAUAAACGCCGUCAGAAGAUUCGCCGCUAUAAGAGGUCAAGUUAAGAUUUUCCGAUCUGACCGUGGAACAAACUUUAUUGGUGCAAUCGACGAUUUAAAGAUUGACUCAAUCAACGUCGAAGAUGGACCCUUCAAGAACUUUCUGUACAAUUCUGGUACAACUUGGAUCUUCAAUCCGCCACAUUCGUCCCACAUGGGUGGAGCCUGGGAAAGAAUGAUUGGUAUCGCAAGGAGAAUUCUUGAUUCUAUGCUUCUAAACGCAGCAGGAAGAAGCCUAACGCACGACGUGCUCAACACACUAAUGGCAGAAGUUUCAGCAAUAGUGAACUCUAGACCUCUGGUACCGGUAUCGACAGAUCCAGAGAGUCCGUUAAUCUUAACGCCAGCUAUGUUAUUGACACAAAAGACCGAUUACAUCUUCACUUCAGAUCAGCUUGGAGAAUUCGACAAACAGGAUCUAUGUCUAGCCGAAUGGAGACGUGUACAGGCUCUGGCCAGUGUUUUCUGGUCCCGUUGGAGGAAAGAGUACUUGCCGUUACUACAACCACGACGAAAAUGGACCGAAGAUCGCCGUGAUCUCAUCAAAGGAGACGUCAUUCUCCUAAAGGACAAAAACCUUUGCCGUACUCAAUGGCCCAUAGGCGUUAUAGUAAAUUCAUUUAAGAGUUCCGACGAACAUGUCCGGAAAGCAGAAGUACGAAUCAUCGUAAAUGGAAAAGCCACCAUCUACACACGCCCAAUCGUGGACAUGAUUCUUCUCAUAGAGAGCGAUUGUAUAUAGUUUUUGUUAAUAAUGAUACUAUGGAUUUUUACAGUGAAAUAUUCACGUGUGUUAUAUAUUUGGAAUAGUGAUAUCAGUUAGACAUCAGACGGGGAGUAUUCUGUUUCACAUUCAAUGUUUACUAUAUGUUUUCAUAAUCAUCCGGAACAAAUCGCACUGAACCGAUUUCUUACAUCACCGUACGCCUUUAAUUUCUGUGACACCGUCUGUUUCAAUAUUUCAACACAUGUAACAUGGACGACAUUUAAUUUUCUGAGGAAAUCGAGACAUAUCACUGUCAAGUACGUUUUAUUCAUUUAUAAACUGUGAUAAUUUAAUCUGUUUAAGUUCGUUAAUUUGGAUAAGUGAUUUAUUAAACGCAUACGAACUGUAAGUUAUUUAUAACCGAGAUUGGAACUGUAAAUUCUACUUUCGUUUUCAUUUCAUUGUUUUAAAUAUUUGCAUAUGAACUUUAAUAUGUUCUUUCAUACAUUGUAAGUAUUUCUUUUUGUUUUAUUGCAGUUUACCACAAACAAUCUACUGACUACUUGUAAACCUUUCUGGUGGAAUAUUAUAAUUACAAUUUUCGAAACAAGUUGUGUUCUUUAUAUAUUUGCCGAGAUUGCGAUACAGUCACCUGGUUAAGCUAGCUGAGUCAGGCUCAGUAUAAACUUCGACAUUUGAGCAGCUUUUGAGUGAAACACAUGACACAAUGUUCUAUUCAUCGUACGCACUGCAUAAAAGUGACUUUACACAAUUGGACGAUAUCCCAAAGUAUAUGCAGCCAGAUGGAAUUAAGCAAUUUGAUAUACAGGCAUUUCUGACAGACAUACUUUUUAAAAUUCAGCUGAAGAUCAGUUGUGCCGGUGCAGUGCUCGACAAAAUAGCAAAGCAAAAUGCAUCUGCUGAGCCAGUUCUAAUUUUUAAACCACCGGCACGCGACAAAAUAGAGAUAAAAGUAUCAUUAAUGGUUGGAGGUCCAAGUUCAUUGAUAACUGUUAGAUUAUCUGAUACAAUAAGUAAUGUAAAGAAAAAAAUAAAGAAGACCGUGUCAUGUGACCCAGAAUUCAAACUGCAUCUAAAAUUUGGCAAUAAAAUUCUCCGGGAUACCCUGACAGUUUUUGAUUACAAUAUUCAGAUCGGAUCAACUGUAUGUGUCAUCUACGAAUUGCCUAAAAAAGCAGAACAAAAGUAAGAAGAGACAGAAAGAAAUUUUGGGUUACAUAUAAAUGAGAAACUAUUUGGCCGUUAGUUUUUCUCGUUUGAAUUAUUCAACAUUUGAUAUUUCGUUGCCCUUUAUAGCUUGCUAUGCGGUAUGUGUUUUGCUCAUUGUUAAAUUCUUUUUUUUUUAUAUUGCUAUAUCAUUGUAUUUAUCUUCAUAAUUCUUUGAUUGAAAUCAAUAACAUUUAUACAAUAUCAUUGCCAUUAAUUUCAAUAUUUGAUACCAGAUAACAAAGUAAUCAUUAGAAAUGUACGUUCUUACUCCACGUUGUGGUCACCUGUUUAUUAUUUUUUUGUUUUGUAUUGGGUACUGAGUAAUUUGUCUGAAGCUGAUUAAGUGGGACAGGGUGCCCGGGCCCUCCUUAUGGAGCUACAUAUGGUUAAAGAAUAACGUAGUCAUUUUACAUGUCCGUCUCCAAAAUUUGACUAGUUUUGGGGUCACGGCCCCUUAUUUUUCAAAAUCUUGGAUCCGCACCUGUUUGUUACAGGUUUUUCCGAUUUUAUUAGGACUUUCUACCUGUCUGUCGAAAGACCUUUUGGUUCUUAAUAUGUUGUUUCUCUUCCGCCACUUUUAUUUCUAAUAUAUUCUAAGACACCGACUAGA